rnacentral:rRNA from 1 species
UACGUAGGGUGCGAGCGUUAAUCGGAAUUACUGGGCGUAAAGCGUGCGCAGGCGGUUCGCCAAGUCAGGUGUGAAAUCCCCGGGCUUAACCUGGGAAUUGCGCUUGAAACUAGCGGGCUUGAGUGUGGCAGAGGGGGGUGGAAUUCCACGUGUAGCAGUGAAAUGCGUAGAUAUCAGGAGGAAUACCGAUGGCGAAGGCAGGUCUCUGGGCUGACACUGACGCUCAUGCACGAAAGCGUGGGGAGCAAACAGG